AACCUAGCACACCUGCGGUGUGUACCUGCGGAGGGAUCAUUACCGAGUGUGGUCCCAUAUAAGGGGCGCCUCCCGUCCUUUGCAGGGCCUUUAGGGGCUUUUUGACUUUGCUUCGGCGGGCUUGCCCCGCCGGAACACCCUCAAGAAAAUCUUUAUGAACCGUUUGUCUGAGUUGCUUGCGAAUAAAAACAAAACUUUUAGCAAUGGAUCU
rnacentral:misc_RNA from 1 species